AAAUACAGUAAAGAUGACUUGAGGGGGAGCAAGAGUUGGAGAAAAACAUAGGUUAUUUUUUCUCCAACUCUUGCUCCCCCUCAAUUUGUUUUGCUUUCAGCUAUUU